GGGCCAGAGCUCGGUGGCAGAGCAGCUGCUUAGCAUGCAGAAGGUCCUGGGUUCGAUACCUGUUGGCAUCU